UGUUUCGGCAAGGGGGUCAUCCCGACUUACCAACCCGAUGCAAACUGCGAAUACCGGAGAAUGUUAUCACGGGAGACACACGGCGGGUGCUAACGUCCGUCGUGAAGAGGGAAACAACCCAGACCGCCAGCUAAGGUCCCAAAGUCAUGGUUAAGUGGGAAACGAUGUGGGAAGGCCCAGACAGCCAGGAUGUUGGCUUAGAAGCAGCCAUCAUUUAAAGAAAGCGUAAUAGCUCACUGGUCGAGUCGGCCUGCGCGGAAGAUGUAACGGGGCUAAACCAUGCACCGAAGCUGCGGCAGCGACGCUUAUGCGUUGUUGGGUAGGGGAGCGUUCUGUAAGCCUGUGAAGGUGUACUGUGAGGUAUGCUGGAGGUAUCAGAAGUGCGAAUGCUGACAUAAGUAACGAUAAAGCGGGUGAAAAGCCCG
rnacentral:rRNA from 1 species